rnacentral:rRNA from 1 species
GAUGAACGCUGGCGGCGUGCCUAAUACAUGCAAGUCGAGCGAAUGGAUUAAGAGCUUGCUCUUAUGAAGUUAGCGGCGGACGGGUGAGUAACACGUGGGUAACCUGCCCAUAAGACUGGGAUAACUCCGGGAAACCGGGGCUAAUACCGGAUAACAUUUUGAACUGCAUGGUUCAAAAUUGAAAGGCGGCUUCGGCUGUCACUUAUGGAUGGACCCGCGUCGCAUUAGCUAGUUGGUGAGGUAACGGCCCACCAAGGCAACGAUGCGUAGCCGACCUGAGAGGGUGAUCGGCCACACUGGGACUGAGACACGGCCCAGACUCCUACGGGAGGCAGCAGUAGGGAAUCUUCCGCAAUGGACGAAAGUCUGACGGAGCAACGCCGCGUGAGUGAUGAAGGCUUUCGGGUCGUAAAACUCUGUUGUUAGGGAAGAACAAGUGCUAGUUGAAUAAGCUGGCACCUUGACGGUACCUAACCAGAAAGCCACGGCUAACUACGUGCCAGCCGCCGCUGUAA